GAUGAACGCUGGCGGCGUGCCUAAUACAUGCAAGUCGAGCGAACAGACGAGGAGCUUGCUCCUCUGACGUUAGCGGCGGACGGGUGAGUAACACGUGGAUAACCUACCUAUAAGACUGGGAUAACUUCGGGAAACCGGAGCUAAUACCGGAUAAUAUAUUGAACCGCAUGGUUUAAUAGUGAAAGACGGUUUUGCUGUCACUUAUAGAUGGAUCCGCGCCGCAUUAGCUAGUUGGUAAGGUAACGGCUUACCAAGGCAACGAUGCGUAGCCGACCUGAGAGGGUGAUCGGCCACACUGGAACUGAGACCCGGUCCAGACUCCUACGGGAGGCAGCAGUAGGGAAUCUUCCGAGAUGGGCGAAAGCUUGACGGAGCAACGCCGCGUGAGUGAUGAAGGUCUUCGGAUCGUAAAACUCUGUUAUUAGGGAAGAACAAAUGUGUAAGUAACUAUGCACGUCUUGACGGUACCUAAUCAGAAAGCCACGGCUAACUACG
rnacentral:rRNA from 1 species